rnacentral:rRNA from 1 species
AGCGAACGCUGGCGGCAGGCUUAACACAUGCAAGUCGAGCGGGCGUAGCAAUACGUCAGCGGCAGACGGGUGAGUAACGCGUGGGAACGUACCUUUUGGUCGGAACAACACAGGGAAACUUGUGCUAAAUACCGGAUAAGCCCUUACGGGGAAAGAUUUAUCGCCGAAAGAUCGGCCCGCGUCUGAUUAGCUAGUUGGUGAGGUAACGGCUCACCAAGGCGACGAUCAGUAGCUGGUCUGAGAGGAUGAUCAGCCACAUUGGGACUGAGACACGGCCCAAACUCCUACGGGAGGCAGCAGUGGGGAAUAUUGCGCAAUGGACGGAAGUCUGACGCAGCAACGCCGC